rnacentral:rRNA from 1 species
UACGUAGGUGGCAAGCGUUAUCCGGAAUUAUUGGGCGUAAAGAGGGAGCAGGCGGCAGCAAGGGUCUGUGGUGAAAGACUGAAGCUUAACUUCAGUAAGCCAUAGAAACCGGGCAGCUGGAGUGCAGGAGAGGAUCGUGGAAUUCCAUGUGUAGCGGUGAAAUGCGUAGAUAUAUGGAGGAACACCAGUGGCGAAGGCGACGAUCUGGCCUGUAACUGACGCUCAGUCCCGAAAGCGUGGGGAGCAAAUAGG